CUGAGAUUAAGAGUUGAAUGCUAAAUGACUGAGCCAUCCAGGUACCCUGGAGCGUGAAUCUGAUGUGGACCUUCCUCCACCUUCUCUUCCUGGAGCAAACUCUUCACCCCAGGCCUGCUCUCCUCUACAAAACAUACAGACAACACCAGGUCCUGGGUCCCUGGAGGACACCACCGAUACUGUGAGGUGAUGGUGAGGUGAUGGUGGCUGAUGCACAGGGGUAAAUGCAAGACGAUCAACACCUUCAUUCAUGAGGAUGUGGCCACGUUGGCAUAUUUCUGCAGAAUUCCACCUCUGCCCUCUACCAACAGCUGCUGUGUGCACAACGGUCACAAAGUGCGCACCAUGCCCAAAGACCCCUGAGAUCAAGAGUUGCAUGCUUUAUCCUUGGAGCCAUCCAGGUGCCCCUACACAAUCCAUUUCUGAAGGCAGUUUUUCUACCCACAAGAGGGAGAAUCUGUAGGUGACUUUCUUCUCUACCCUGUGACUCCACCAAAAUCGUGUCAAGGCUUUAAAUCAAAGGAAGGCACCUGACUCUAGGGCAGCCAUCCACGGACUGACAGGCUGGGUACCCAUGAAAGAAACUGGUCUGGAGAUUUUACUGUCCUGGAAUAAGGCUGACAAAACUGGAUACUCUUAUUUUCAUUUCCCCCCAUAAUUCCAGGAGCUGUGAUUGUAUUGUCUUCGUUUGUGACCUUUAGCACGUAGCCUAUUGCUUGCUAUAAGAGAGCUUUCAAUAAAUCUUUAAUGGGCUAUUGUAAUAGGUCCUGCUGGUGCUAAGGAUUUUUUGCAGAUUCUGUUUUCAGAAUGGGAAAGUUCCCUUCCCUUCUGCUCUCUGUUUCCACCUGUAAAUGGAUUGUGAAUUUUGUUGAAUAAUUUUUCUUCAUCUGAUGACACAGUCAUAUACUAUUUCCAUCCUAAUCAGUUAAUGGAGUGGAAUUGAAUAAAAUUUCUGGACAUAAGCAACUCCA